rnacentral:rRNA from 1 species
UACGUAGGGUGCAAGCGUUGUCCGGAUUUAUUGGGCGUAAAGGGCUCGUAGGCGGUCUAUCGCGUCGGUUGUGAAAAGCUGGGGCUCAACCCCAGUCCUGCUUUCGAUACGGGUGGACUAGAGGCAGGCAGGGGAGAGCGGAAUUCCUGGUGUAGCGGUGAAAUGCGCAGAUAUCAGGAGGAACACCGGUGGCGAAGGCGGUUCUCUGGGCCUUGCCUGACGCUGAGGAGCGAAAGCGUGGGGAGCAAACAGG